rnacentral:rRNA from 1 species
AUGGGAGACUGCCGGGUCAACUCGGAGAAGUGGGAUGACGUCAAAUCAUCAUGCCCCUUAUGUCUUGGGCUUCACGCAUGCUACAAUGGCCGGUACAAAGGGCUGCGAUACCGCGAGGUGGAGCGAAUCCCAGAAAGCCGGUCUCAGUUCGGAUUGGGGUCUGCAACUCGACCCCAUGAAGUCGGAGUCGCUAGUAAUCGCAGAUCAGCAACGCUGCGGUGAAUACGUUCCCGGGCCUU